UUGGCGGUGAGGGAAAAAGAGGGGGAAGGAGUGGUGGGCUGGUUGAGGGGUUGAGCCCAAGAGGAAUAAGAAUGCUCUUCCCAUUUAUAUUUCAAGGAGACAGAGAGGGAAAAGAAUAUUCCAAUUUCUAUUUGGAGAAAGGAAUUGAAGGAUUUACCACUAUUUGCUAAAAUGAUUGAGCGGGAAAGGGAAAAGAGAUUGAGAUGAGUCACCACGAAUUUAAGAUAGAUUUAGCGGCAGAGAUUUGGUGAUGAGAUCAACAAGAGAAAAGUUUUGGAGAAGGGAAUUUGGAAAAGAGUUCAAAAUGGAUUAAAGGAGUUUGAGACGUACUCCAAUGAAAAGAUUGAGAAAGGAUUCGCUUCGCCUUUGAGAUAGGCUCAACGGAGAUAUGGGAAUACUUUGCUAAGGAUUUGUGCACUCCAAAAGAAACUCAAAACCCUAAACAAGACCCAACUCAAGACCAC
rnacentral:lncRNA from 1 species